rnacentral:rRNA from 1 species
UACGGAAGGGGCAAGCGUUGUUCGGAAUCAUUGGGCGUAAAGCGUGCGCAGGCGGUCCGCAAAGUCUGAUGUGAAAGCCCCGGGCUCAACCUGGGAACUGCAUUGGAAACUAACGGGCUCGAGUGUGGCAGAGGGGGGUGGAAUUCCGCGUGUAGCAGUGAAAUGCGUAGAUAUGCGGAGGAACACCGAUGGCGAAGGCAAUCCCCUGGGCCUGCACUGACGCUCAUGCACGAAAGCGUGGGGAGCAAACAGG